UCAUAUUACCUAGCCCUUACCCCUCUUCUGCCUGGAAUUAAUUCACAGUAUUGAUUUUAAGAUAGAAGGUAAUGGUUUUUAAAAACAACAACAAUAACAAUACACAUUAACCUCUAAGGUACUCUCCCAUCUUUGAUUGGCUCCUGUUGAUAGACUCAGGAUAAAUGAAUGGAAAAAGCAUUCAUUGGAUGCUUAUUAUGUGCCAAAAGGUGUACGUGGGAUACUAAAAAAAAUGUGCCUGCUCUCAAUGAGUCAAUAGGUAUAGGAGGUUUGAUGGAAUUAUGGGUAGAACCUUGGUGAGGUCUUUUAGUUUGGAAACUUGUAUGGAACCAUAAAGAAAAAUAUUGUCAUCUUGUCUAGAAGAAAUAUCAGUAUUGAUUUGUUUAUAGUUCCAGAGCUGAAAAGUGAGAUAGCAGGAUGGGAGAAGAUGCAAGCUACCAAAGACAGGGAGGAGAAGGUGCUUGUGGAGUAGAAUAAUCAUGGGUCUCUGUGUAUUUUUCCUUCUAGGCACCUCUAACAACCAGAAGUGACUGAUCCUUUUCUUCUCAAAAUACUUUGCUUUUUUCAACUAUGUCGGAUGCUGCUAAAGUAACUGGCUGCAUCUUUGGCCAAGAUAAGAAGCCCGAAUCUGACUUCAGCAGUAGAAUCUCUGCAUUUCCUUUGCAGAAAUAAUCUACGGCUCUUUGAUGGUGCUUCAGUAUAAAUCAUUAAUAUUGGAGGCAGCUAAAUGGAACAAUGGAUAAAGCACUGGGCCUGAAGUCAGGAAGACUUGAGUUCAAAUUGUCUGAUUCUCGGCACAAUGGGAAGAAAAAUGCCGCACAAUGUUUUUUUCCUCUGAUCAAGACACUAUCAUUUAUGCAUAAACCUGGAAAGCUCCAAUUGGAAUUCAGCUUUUACAAGAUGAACGCAUGGCAAGAAGUAUCAGUGGAGUAAUGUAUGUUUUAGACAUCUAAUUUCUCAAGAAGGAAAUUAUAAAUGGCAAGCUGGGUCCAUCUCGCUUAGUGAAAGAGCUGCAAUUUAAAUUGUUUAAAGUAGCAGUUACAAUAAAUACUGUUGCUAAUUUUGUUUAAGAUUUGAAGAGGUUUGGGUACCAACUACUACUAGUAACAAGAAGAGGAUGUUCCACAUUGUUUUGAUACCUGCAUUUAUGAAAAGGAGGGAGAGAAUAAGGGAAAGAGAUGGAUAUAUUUUUUAAAAAACAUCUCCUGUGUGUUUCAUGUCACAGACAUGGUAAAUAUUUAUUUAGAGUCUGUUCUGAUAAUCCAUGAAUUUAAGUUUAAGAGAAAAAAAGCAAAGAAAUAAGUGUAUGGAUAUGUGAUUCUGAAAUUAAAGUUAGUCAUAAUACAUAAAUAAAAUGAGGAAAGUAAAAAAAUAAGAAAAGAAACCAUGGCUCACAUGAAGUCAGACUGAACAACAAAAUGGAGAGCCAAUGGGAACAGUGGGAAAGCCAGUAAUGAAACUAGAGAUUUUGAAUAUAAGAUCAGUGCUUUUCUUACUUGUACAAUGUUUCCAAGCAUAUUAUAUGUUUAGAGCUGGAAGGAAUCCUGGAGGUAAUUCAGUUCACCACUCUCUUUUUACUGAUGAGUAAACUGACACCCAGAAAGGUAAAACUAUACCCAGAGUCACAAAGUUAGCUCUCAACAAAACUAUCAUUUGAACCCUAUUCCCCUGACCCCAAAUCCAAGUUUUAUUUUUCCAUAUAACCUACUGCUGUUCAUGUUUGUGUUUUCUUUCCUGUUCUUGAGGCAGGGGGUGGAGGGUGGACAUGGAGAGUUCUGUCCAGAUCUUGCAUUUAAGAAGGGAACAAAGAGCAGGCAGCUCAUAAUUUUCCUAUAGCUGAAUAACUUCAUCAUGCCUAGGACCAUGUACCCUUCCUCUCCCUUUCCUUCUUCCAUGUCAGCUUCUUCUUCUUCUUCUUUUUUUGAAUUGUCUUCCCCCAUUAGAUUGUGAGUUCCUUGAGGGAAGAGACCAUCUUUUGACUUUUGACUAACCCCAGACCUUAAAUUGCCCAGUUCCUGGCACAUAGUAAGAUCAUAAAAACUGUUUGUUUAUGAUUAUUUAUCUGGGAUCUUCUUCAAAAGGAUCCCAAUUAAUACCUUAGAAAGGGCUAGGGUCCCAUGCUCAUUAAUGCUUCAUACAAAUAUUUUAAAAGUACCUUAUGACUGAUUCAACCCAAAUCAACCUAUCUGGUAUUAGGAUGUCUUCAUCUAAGACAUCCUGAAAUCAGAUAGUUUAAUAUGGAAGGUUCUUUCCUUCUCAAAGGAGCUUUUAAUAUUAAUUUAAUAUUUUAAUAAUUCAUAAAGUAGCAAAAUCUUGCUUUUUCAAAUUCUUCUUCUUCCCAUGGUUUAUUCCUGAAUUUUUCAUUUGAAACUUCUUUCCUGUCCUUCUCUCCUGUUCACACAGUCACAACUGCUAGCAGAUCAUACUGGGACCUGCCCAAGGGGGAAAGAAUAUUCAUUUCACUGAUUUACAACUGGAAUUUUUUAGUUUAAAAUAGGAAUAUUUCCUUUUUAAUAUUUUAACUCUGUAUGUGAUAUCUCUAUAUAAAAUACAUCUCUGUAUGUGUGAUAUAGUAUACUUUGGAAUUUAGUUGACAAGUCAUUUAUCAAGGAGGAGUUAGUGCUUUUACUAAUCUUGUUGAAUAUGGCUACUUUUCAUAAUCCUGAGAAAUACCACUGAAUCCCCAAAUGCCCUAGUGGUUCUUCAGGUAUUUCUUGAACAUACAUCCUUGAAUGGACAGGAAUUGAGAGAUAGGGUGAUAAGUGAUAUACAGGUAGAAUGACAUCAUUGAUAGCAUCCUGCAGUUGAAGUUGAGAAGCCUUGGUUCCAAAUUCUGUCUUAGAUACUAUCAGUGGGAUGACUGAGUCCCUUAACUUCUCUGAGAUUCACUGUGCUCCCCUAAAACUGGAAUACUAAUAGUAUCUAUCUCAAAGAGUUGUUGUGAAGAUCAAAGGAAAUGUGUGUAAAGAGAUUAUUUGAAAAAUCUUCAAAUAUUUUAUAAAUAUAAACUUAUCUUUUAUUGUAAUGAUAGGAGUAUUGCUGUCAAAGCCAGGAAACCAAGAUUCCAGUCCUUGAUCUGCCCCCUAAUCUGUAGAGGGAGGACACUCACAAGCCUAUUGUGAAGAAAUCACUUUGAAAAAGCUUAAAGGGUUCAAGAUUUAUGCACUGUAGUAAACUGAAAGAACUUCACUACUAUUCUUGAAUAUUCUAAGACGCCUUCCAUUUUGAAAAUUACCUUCAGUGGUUUUCAUUCUUAGUGCCAAAGCAAACUUUUGUAAGCCUAUCAACUCAGCCCCUCAUUAAAAGAAAACAAAAGCACUCCCCCCCCCAAUCUAUUAAUCGCAGAAAUAACUAGUGUGUGUCCUAGCCCACCCAUUUCUCCCUUUUCUCCAGAGAUUCUUGGGCAGUAUCUAUGCUAUUAAUGGCAUUGAAUGUCAUGGUGAAUAUCUGGAUAGAUCCUUAGGUGGGAAAUGAAACACUUUCACAAUAGAAAAGUGAAGAAUAUUUGAGUAAUGGAGCUUGUAAUGUUUCUAAGUGGACAUCUGGAGUGAAGGGUGGCUCUAGGCUAGAGGAUUAUCUUUGAGGGAAGGUGAGGAGCUUGCUCUACCCAGGGUUUUCUGAGGGUGG